AUGCUACCUGCACUGUGUCCCACACUUGCAAACGCUGGAGCUACCUGGGGUCGGCCGGGGAAUGUCUGCUGCCACAUUAGUGAUGUGAUAAUGGGCUUCACAUAUCACCUGGACAUUAAUAGAGGGAAACCACUCACUGCUUCUGAAAGCAGCUUUGUUCUCAGCUGGUGUCCUGGAGGCACUGUCCAAGACCUGGCUAGAUAUAUCAGGAAGCCUGUUAUUCCUGAGGUUACAACGGUAGUCUCCAGUGCCCUGCAAACCCUCAAUGAAAGACACAGCCUGCUUUCAAAGAAUUAAAACGGCUCAACUUCAAAGAGCGGCGUUGCUUAGAGUCACCUGGUGCCACUGUCUCGGUGCCUCCUGUCUGGAGAGAGUCUGGGAGCCGCUGCUUACCACCAUCUCCUGCCCUCCUAACCCGUCGCUGGUUACAUUACGGUAGGAAAGUUUUAUGUGUAUAAUUUGUGAAGUUCCCUUAAGCAGACAGUGCUAUAUAAAUGUGAAAAGCUGUUAUUAAUAAUAAAGGUUGGCACACCUAAGAAUACUGUAGAAUUAAAGUAAUGAGAUUCUAUUUUUAGGCAGACUUGCCAAUAACAUGCAAGUAUGAUAAGGCUGUGAUUUAAAGCUCACUUUAACCUUCCCUUGCUCUAAAGAGUACAUUUUCUGGGCCGCCUACACAGCAGUCAGCCGCCCUGAGCUCUAUUAACGCUAAUGGUGG
rnacentral:lncRNA from 1 species